GUUCAAAUGAGGAAGGGCUUACGGUGGAUACCUAGGUGCCCAAAGACAAGGAAGGGCAUGGUAAGUGACGAAAUGCUUUGGGGAGUUGAAAAUGAGCAUAGAUCCGGAGAUUCCUGAAUAGGUUAACCUUUUUAACUGUUGUUGAAUCCAUGGGCAGGCAAGAGACAACCUGGCGAACUGAAACAUCUUAGUAGCCAGAGGAAUAGAAAGAAAAAUUGAUUCCCAUAGUAGCGGCAAGCGAAAUGGGAGCAGCCUAAACCGUGAAAACAGGGUUGUGGGAGAGCACAAUAUAAGCUCUGUGCUGCUAGGCGAAGCAGUUGAGUCCUGCACCCUAGAUGGUGAGAGUCCAGUAACCAAAAGAAUCAUCGGGUUACGCUCUAACCUGAGUAGCAUGGGGUACGUGGAAUCCCAUGUGAAUCAACAAGGACCACCUUGCAAGGAUAAAUACUCCUGGGUGACUGAUAGCGAAGUAGUACCGUGAGGGAAAGGUGAAAAGAACCCCCAUCGGGGAGUGAAAUAGAACAUGAAACCGUAA
rfam:Picea glauca, whole genome shotgun sequence.